CAGAUUACGAAUAAGCACUAGUCUAUCGUUCCACUACGGAUAAAACUAUUCUAAGUUCAUUUUUUAAGAAAUUUGACAAACAAGCAGAAGUGUUAAAAGAAAUAAAAAUCUUUACAAAUUUCUUGUUUUGAAAGUAAUAGGAGCUUUAUAACGUCUUUUGCCCUUCAGUUUUUUGGGAUAGUAUAGGUUAGUCGAUAAAGACGGUCGUUAAUAUUGUUUAUUAUUAAAACGUUAUUGAUUGUCCCAAAGUGUUGUGAGAUCAAAUGAUUGAUGAAUUAAUCAUAAUUUACUUUAAAAUGGAUUUGGAACAUAAGAUAAUUAUAGCCGAUGAAGGAAGAAAAAUUUUGAGAUUCCUGACCCCUCCCCGGAAAUUUAUAAUUUCAUAAAUAAAAGUACAGUUUAUUCCAUUCUGGAUGAUUCAGAAAAUUUCGAAGUGGAGCUCAAAAAUUACCUUAGAGAAAUAACUGAGAACUAUAAUCAAUAUUCAACAGAUUUGGUCAAUUCCGCAGGGAAUAGUGUUCUACCUAUUAAACAUAAUGAAUAUUCUACUGAUGAAAAUGUGGAUUAUGCAGCUACUAACGCAAGGUAAAACUACUGAUAAGUGAAAAAUAAAUGUUAUUGCAUAAAUUAGAUAGCUUAAUUGAUUAAUAUGAAUUCAGCAAAAAAGUUCAAGGAUUUUCAAUAGCGAGAAACUAUGUAAAGGGAUCGUUUAAAAAUGAUGUCAUAUUUCUAGGGGGAAAGGG